CUAAAUUCUCUACCCAAUUCCAGUUUCUAAGUACUAACAUUUUUCUAAUUUUAUAUGUAAGGAUUUUGAGAAUUUUAUUUGAUUACUCUCCAGUCAAACAGCAACUUUUUGGAAACUAUAUAACAAAGUGAUUCAGUAGUGAGUUCAAAGAGGGAAGAGGAGGAAGGAAAGGAAAUGUGAUUUUGACUCUAUAAGCUGCAGGGCCAUCGAAGGGUGGACAACAUUAAGAUUUAUUUGGGACAUGUAAUAUCUAAUUGGUGAGUUUAUUUGAUCUUGGCAGUAUAUAUAAUAAUGACAAAAUACUGACUAUCACUUUAAUAUUAUUUACGACAUGCUGUGCUAUCUUAAUGAAUAUUUAGUGAGGUUUUUUCUGUGCACUUUCUAUGCCAGAAGUAUAGUCUAAAGAAUAUGGAUUUAAGCUCGGUUGAGCUGUACUUUGAAAAGUUACUCCAUGAACAUGGUUUGUUCAUCUCUAACUUUCAAAUCUAAUGGGAACAAGUUGCAAAUAGGAGAUUUAUUUCCCCUCACUGCUAAUCCUUGUUAUCUUGGGUCAUGCCUGCAGUUAGUUAUCAGUGCCCUGCAGCCCAGAGCUGUGUGUGGAGGUGAUGACAUCUACCCCAUGCACUGUAUUGCACACUGGUAGUUGGUAACCUACUAAUUGCGUUAAAUCAUAUCUUGCUCUAUGUUAGUUCUCCCUCCCUCUUGGAGAGAAAUACUGUUAACAAAAAAAAGAAUAGCUCAAUUUUGUCAUGAAGAGUUGUCAGCAUAGCACUGUGAAUAUGUAGGGGGAAAAUUAACAAAGCAAGAAUUGCAUCUCAGCUUAAGGCAGCAGCAGUUUCUGAUGCUUGCCUCGGUGCUGUGCAGUCUUCCAUGGGAAGCAGAUACCUGGGGAGAAAUAUAAGCAUAGGGCAAGCAUCAAGUGAUACUUUGCAGAAAAGCAGUACACAUCUCAAAAGGCUCAGUUUCAGGCUUGCUUAUUGCAUGUGGUAAAUGUAUCAAACCGGGAUAAAACUCUGAAACCUUAUGCUGCCUUUUUUGACUUGCAGAUGUAGAUUUUGGUUUUAUUAUCUUAUUUUCAGUAGUAUAUGCCAGUACUGCAUUUUUAUAGAGGAGUUUCUUCCUGUUUGGUUGGGGCAGCUGAGCUGUGUGUAGUCCCAAAACCUGGGUGGCUCUGGGGCUCCUGCUCGCCCAGGCUUACUGGGUUUCAGAGACUGUGUUAAUGGCUCUAUCUUGUGGCUCGAAGUGGAGUUGCAGACCACGUACUUGUGCUUUCUGGGUUGAUUAAGGUCUUGGGUCCACCUGCGAAAGAGUUCCUGAAAUUUAA